AAAGCUUUGAGCCUAUUUCACGCGCUAUCUGGUUGUGACACUACAUCUUCUUCACAUGGCAGAGGCAAAAAAACAUUUUGGGACACAUGGUCCAUCUUCCCAGAUCUUACGAAAUCUAUUCUGAAUCUGUUGGAGCACCCUGGGGAAAUCGAUCAAGAAUUUACUGUCAUCGAAAAAAUUUUCGUGCUUCUGUAUGACCGUUCGAGUCAAUUAGAACAGGUUGAUGACGCUCGUCGGACAAUGUACACAACCUCCUUUUCACUGGAACUGAUUCCACCGACAAAAGCGAGUCUCUAUCAACAUGUAAAACGAUCGGUGCUGCAAGGGGCGUUCAUUUGGGGCCAAUGUAUGGAAAAAAUGCAGGACAUACCAGAUCCGACUGCCUUCGGAUGGACUUUAGUUGAAGACCAAUUUGAACCAUUUUGGACGACGUUGCCCGACUAUUCUCGGCACAUCAACACCACUAGAUGUGGUUGUAAGGUUGCCUCCAAAGGGCGUUGCAAAUGCAAAGGGAACUGUUCAUUGCUAUGUAUGUGUGAAGGGCGUUGCAAAGAUGAGAAAAGUAAACAAAUUUCGAUG